AUGGUCCGGCAGGUCCUGGAUGUUGCGAACAGAAUGAGGUGAACGAGGCCAGUGCAGUGGGACCAGGAACCAGCAGCUGUUGCCGCCACUCUCCAGUGAAGAAAGAACAGAAAUCUUUGCCCCAUGACUUUGGAAGCUUUGUUUGUUUAACUUUCAAACUGGUGAUGUCAAGGGUUCCAAGUCCUCUACCUCCAACAGAAAUGUCGAGUGGCCCUGCAGCUGAGAGCUGGUGCUACACACAGAUCAAAGUCAUGAAAGUCUCCUACCUGUGGACCAUCACUAACUUUAGCUUUUGCCGACAGGAAAUGGGUGAAGCCAUUAAAAGUUCAACCUUUUCAUCAGAAGCCAAUGAUAAGCUGAAAUGGUGUUUACGAGUAAACCCAAAGGGACUUGAUGAAGAGAGCAAAGAUUACCUGUCCCUUUACCUGUUACUGGUCAGCUGUCCAAAGAAUUUUGUUCAGGCAAAAUUCAAAUUCUCCAUUUUGAAUGCCAAGAAAGAGGAAACCAAAGCUAUGGAGAGUCAACGAGCUUAUCAAUUUGUGCAAGGCAAAGACUGGGGAUUCAAAAAAUUCAUCCAUAGAGAUUUUCUUUUGGAUGAGGCCACCGGACUGCUCCCUGAUGACAAGCUCACCCUCUUCUGCGAAGUGAGUGUGCUCCAAGACUCCGUCCAUAUUUCUGGCCAGAACACCACGAACAUGGUGAAGGUUCCCGAGAGCAGCUUGGCAGAUGAGCUCGGGGGGCUGUGGGACAGUUCCCGAUUCACGGACUGCUGCUUGUGUGUCGCUGGCCAGGAGUUCAAGGCUCACAAAGCAAUCUUAGCAGCUCGUUCUCCAGUUUUCAGUGCCAUGUUUGAACAUGAAAUGGAGGAGAGCAAAAAGAAUCGAGUUGAAAUCAAUGAUGUGGAGCCUGAAGUUCUUAAGGAAAUGAUGCGCUUCAUUUACACGGGGAAGGUGCCAAACCUCGACACCAUGGCGGGUGACUUGCUGGCAGCUGCUGACAAGUAUGCCCUGGAGCACCUGAAGGUCAUGUGUGAGCACGCCCUGCACAGCAACCUCUCUGUGGAGAACGCCACCGAGAUCCUCAUCCUGGCUGACCUCCACGGCGUGGACUGGCUGAAAACUCAGGCAGUGGAUUUCAUCAACUAUAACGCUUCAGACAUCCUGGAGACCUCCGGGUGGAAGUCCAUGGUGGUGUCACACCCUCACUUGGUGGCCGAAGUCUACCGCUCUCUGGCCUUAGCACAGUGCCCUUUCUUGGGGCCCCCACCAAAGCGCCAGAAGCAGUCCUAA